rnacentral:rRNA from 1 species
AUUGAACGCUGGCGGCAUGCUUUACACAUGCAAGUCGAACGGUAACAGGUUAAGCUGACGAGUGGCGAACGGGUGAGUAGUGCAUCGGAACGUGCCCGAUCGUGGGGGAUAACGCAGCGAAAGCUGCGCUAAUACCGCAUACGAUCUGAGGAUGAAAGCGGGGGACCGUAAGGCCUCGCGCGAUCGGAGCGGCUGAUGUCAGAUUAGGUAGUUGGUGGGGUAAAGGCUCACCAAGCCAACGAUCUGUAGCUGGUCUGAGAGGACGACCAGCCACACUGGGACUGAGACACGGCCCAGACUCCUACGGGAGGCAGCAGUGGGGAAUUUUGGACAAUGGGCGAAAGCCUGAUCCAGCAAUGCCGCGCGCAGGAAGAAGGCCUUCGGGUUGUAAACUGCUUUUGUACGGAGCGAAAAGGUUCUCUCUAAUACAGAGGGCUCAUGACGGUACCGUAAGAAUAAGCACCGGCUAACUACGUGCCAGCCGCCGCAGUAA